CAUGUGGUGCUGUAGUCAGUAUUCGGGGCAGCAGGACGGUGUGUGUGGGACUGAAUCAGAAUAAACUACAGUGUGUGUUCGUGGUGAUGAAGGAAAGCAGCGAGGCUCACUGAUGGGUUUUAAUAAUUUCUGGACAAUGAUUGAGAUUCAGUCAGAUUAAUCCUCUAAUAACAGUUAAUACCAGCUGCCUCUAAUCUAAAAACAGUCAGAUUUUGGAUUCAGAGCCAUUUUCAGACAGCCGGCAUCAUUUAAAAUGUAGUCAGCUCAGCGUUUCACACUUUAAAUCUGUUCCCUGCCCUGCUGCCAGCUGUCAUUUCCUCCACCCCAUUCACCUCCUGCUCAUCAGAUCCAGGCCCAGUUCAAGCGCAGCAGAAGUCUUCCCCUCUUCUCAUCCAGAUCCCCGGCAUCUUCUUCACCCUUUCAUCUCACCACCACCAGUGUUUCGACUCCAUCAGGGGGAUUUCAUCACAAUGGCGUCUAAUCGGCAAAUUACUUUUCACGUUCGCAUGUCAAUAAAUUAUUGUUGUUCACUCAGAGUCGCAACCAAAUCCAACAGGAGCUGUGGUAACCUGGUGAUGGAAGAUCCAGAGGUUUUGCUUUUGCUGUGCUGUCUUGUCUCAGACAGUAGGGGGCCCCCACUCUGGGUUGUGAAAGCCUUCCUUAAGGACUCCCCCUGUCCCUUCUGAGGCUCAUAUAUUGCUGCUGCUGGGUCUGUGGAGGCUGCGUUGUCUUGCAGAAGCCCAUUCCUCAUAAAGUAUCUGUUUAGCAGCAGCAGCACUGUUUCCCUUCACAGUGUGAUGAGACAGAAUUGGUGAUUGGUUUCAGUUUCACCCAGCUGGAUGAUAUUAACGCUAUUUCAGAAUUUUGUUUACUCUCUGGGUAGAAACAUUCAUCUAAAGCAGCCAGCCAGGAGGCCAGAAUUACUCUGUGAAUUAUGACUCUCAGCGGACCAUUUCUGUGUGUGUGCUUAAAGCUGAUUGCUGGUUUCCAUGCUGGCAGAAAACUUCAGCGCUCCACAUAAAAACGCAGUUCCAUUUAUUUUGGGUUUUUUUGGUCUGAAUUUAUAGAGUCAUCAAAAAGAAAUACCACCCUUUUCCUUUUUCAACCGUUUGCCUUCAUUCCUUCGUCUUUCAUUAGAAUGACGCUUCAGUUAUUCUCCAUUUUAAUCUGUAUCAUGGAUAAUGUUAUAGUCAGAGAGAGGAGGAGAGUCUGCUUUAAUUUCUUCAUCAUUUCCAUUCAGUGAUAUGUUGGAUAGAAAUUAUGGUUUGAUGUGAAAUACAUUUACAUAAUUUCUAUUUGGGAUUUAAACUAUUUUUAUGAGAAAUUUCUGCAUUAAUAUAUAUAAUAAUGUUUAUUAUAUUAUAUUUAUUAUAAAUAAAUAACUGUCAUCAUGGCUUAUGUGCCUCCAGCAUCUGAGCAAGUGUAUUUACAUGUUACAUGGGCUAAAUUCUCUGCUUGCACAAUAUAGUGUGACCUAUAUCUGUUUUACUAGCUGCACGUCUGUUUACUUCCUGUCAUCUCUGCAGUAACUGAUUUUCACAUCUUUGCUAACAUCAGGUCGCUAUGGCUCUUUUUUUGCACUCAGUGCUUGGAAGAGCUGCCAAAAAUGAAAGUGACUGACUUGUAGUGUGAAAGUGAGUACAGUCCAAGCACAGAGUGUAAAAAAGACCCAUAUGACGUUAUCUAGGGCUAAUGUUGGUGCUACACUGAUGCUUGUCUUAAUUCACAUCCUUCUGAACUUACACUUGCUAUUUAGACUGCACAAGUGCGUACAAACAAGUACAAUUAAAAGUAUGUUCAUUUUUAUUUUCAAUCAAAUUGUCAAGUGAGCAAACAAGCUGGCAGAAAUUUUGGCGCCAACAAUCGCUGUCAAAAAUUGGUGAUAAUUAUUUGUCCGGUUCCAUUUCGCCAAGUCAAAUGUUCACAACUUCCAUGUUUGUACUGAGACAACGUUACCCUGUCGAAAUUCACGCACAAGUGAGUACAUAGUGUACACCGUGUACUACAUGUUAGUGUGCUGACGGAAGGAUCCAAAUUGAGACACGGCCGGAGUGACUGGCUAAUGCUAAAAGGUUAUCUAAGAAACUGAGGUGAAAAACAAACCAUAAACACUUUUAACAAUAUGUACAAAGCUACCUGUGAAAAGUAAACAUGGAGUGCAGAUUUGAAACAGAUUGGUCGCGCUAUAUUGUACAAGUAGAGAAUCAACAACAGAACGCAGUUUUUAAGAAAAGUGCAGAUGCUCGUCAAAAUGUGUCUUUUAAGGGGAAACGCGCAGAGAGGAGGGAGGAGAUCAUGAUGAAAUUAAAUUAAGAUUAAAAUAAACCCCCUUUGUUCCGGCAGCAGUAUCUGGGCUCACUUAUUAUCUGCCUGAGCAACUCCAAAUCAUCAAAAGUCGCUACAGACUACUACUUUACUUAGUAUUGUUAUUUAAUGUUACUUUAUACUUUCACUUUAGUAUAUUUCAGAUGUAAUUAUUGUUCUUUUUACUCCACUACAUUUAUCUUGACAGCUGUAUUUACGAGCUUAAGAUAGUUAUGCAGUAAAUUAAACUGACAGUAUAUAAAAUGAGUAAAAUCAGCUCUACUUCGAUAUUUAAAUGCUGCUUCCAUGUUAAUGCAUCACCAACAACAACCCAGCAGU